rnacentral:SRP_RNA from 1 species
GUGGGUAUAUUGACACAUGCCUCUAAUCCCUGAUACUGGAGAAGCUGAGUCUAGAGGAGGUCUUGAGCUUGGGGGCUCUGAGUUGCAGUAGGACAAAAGUCAAUGAGGUGUCCUCAUUAAGUUCAGCAUUAAUGUGGUGAGCCCCCAGGAGUAGAGAACCACUAGACUGUCUAAGAAGGAUUGAACCAACCCAUGGUGGAAAUGAAGUAGGUCAAAAUACCUAUGACAGUCUGAAUGGUAUAGAGCCAGGGAAUAGCCCCUGUACUUCCCCCUGGGCAAGAUAGAGAGACCCAGUUUUAU